rnacentral:rRNA from 1 species
UACGUAGGGGGCAAGCGUUGUCCGGAAUCAUUGGGCGUAAAGCGCGUGUAGGCGGCCCGGUAAGUCCGCUGUGAAAGUCCAGGGCUCAACCCUGGAAUGCCGGUGGAUACUGUCGGGCUAGAGUCCGGAAGAGGCGAGUGGAAUUCCUGGUGUAGCGGUGAAAUGCGCAGAUAUCAGGAGGAACACCGAUGGCGAAGGCAGCUCGCUGGGACGGUACUGACGCUGAGACGCGAAAGCGUGGGGAGCAAACGGG